rnacentral:rRNA from 1 species
GACGUAGGGCGCGAGCGUUGUCCGGAAUUAUUGGGCGUAAAGAGCUCGUAGGCGGCUUGUCGCGUCGACUGUGAAAACCCGCGGCUUAACCGCGGGCUUGCAGUUGAUACGGGCAGGCUAGAGUUCGGUAGGGGAGACUGGAAUUCCUGGUGUAGCGGUGAAAUGCGCAGAUAUCAGGAGGAACACCGGUGGCGAAGGCGGGUCUCUGGGCCGAUACUGACGCUGAGGAGCGAAAGCGUGGGGAGCGAACAGG